AUGAUGCUGGCAAGAGAGAAGCCCGCUGGGGUUGCUGGCGAUUUCCCAGGCUCCAGCCGCGAUGAGCGUUUAUCGAUAGCUGCAGGACGCGCUGCCGCGGGCGCUGCCGCGGGCAGUGCCAGCGCGGCUCGGGCCGGGCGGGACGGGGAUCGGUCGAUGCGGGCUCCGGGGACACGCGCGGGGGGAUCGGUCGAUGCGGGCUCCGGGGACACGCGCGGGGGGAUCGGUCGAUGCGGGCUCCGGGGACACGCGCGGGGGGAUCGGUCGAUGCGGGCUCCGGGGACACGCGCGGGGGGAUCGGUCGAUGCGGGCUCCGGGGACACGCGCGGGGGGAUCGGUCGAUGCGGGCUCCGGGGACACGCGCGGGGGGAUCGGUCGAUGCGGGCUCCGGGGACACGCGCGGGGGGAUCGGUCGAUGCGGGCUCCGGGGACACGCGCGGGGGGAUCGGUCGAUGCGGGCUCCGGGGACACGCGCGGGGGGAUCGGUCGAUGCGGGCUCCGGGGACACGCGCGGCGGGCGGGACCCACCGCGCCCCGCAGCAAUGCCGAGCAGGCUGCGCCACGGUAACGCCUCUCAACGAGCCUAAGCCGUGCUCUCUCUCUGGUACGCACCAGCCAAAAUAUAUUUAGCUGGUUUGCUCCGUGUUUUACUGCCCAGGUAUUUUUCUGCGUAUUUUGCUGUUUCCUCACACGCUUGUUUUUCUGUAUAUUUCUUAGUUACAACAAUAUUUAUAACAAAUACACAAAAUAAACCAUUUUAAGUAUUUUCUACAACCUAUUAAAAACUUUCAAAACCGCUAAAACAUAAAUUACACUAAAUUAAAAAAAAAAUCAAAACUAAAAAACAAAAUACCAAAACUAAAAAACCCAAAAUAAACAACAAAAUUCUAAACAACAACCAAUCAUCCUGGCGAAUGGUCCUAACGGAUUGGUGACACUGUUACAUUUAUGGGUAUUUCAGGAGAAAGGAAAAGGGUGUUCACAUGUUCUUGUUGUAUUAUUUAAGAGAAGCCAUUUGAGAGCACAGGAGAAGCAGCGUCUGCUCCCAAAAGGAGGGAAAAUAAUGGAGGGGAAUAUUUGCAAAAAGCUCAGUUAAGUAAAUAUUUUAUGCCCAAUAACGUUAAGGCUUUUGAAUGAUGCAUGCAGGAGAGUUGAAAGGAGGUGAGGCGUGCUGCAGGGAGCGCGCGCUGGGCGCGGAGGUGUCGGCGAGGGCAGAGCCCGGUGCCCUCCUCGGGCACUGCCCCUCGCCCUGGCACGGCUGUGCCGCUCGCAGGAACCUGCAGGGAGCAGCACAGGGGGGGCAGAGGCUCGGCCCCGGCCCGGAGGAAGAG
rnacentral:lncRNA from 1 species